AGUCUGAUGUUUUUCAUAUUAGAUACCCUCUGCUCAAUGAUCUCUUUUAUUUAAAUAGCCGCAGUACUUUGACUGUGCUAAGGUAGCAUAAUAAUUUGGCCGUUAAUUGCGGUCUAGAAUGAAUGGAAGUACUAAUAAAUUUCUGUCUCUUAUAAAUUAUAUUAAAUUUUCUUAUAAGGUGAAAAUUCCUUUAAAAAACAUAAAAGACGAGAAGACCCUCAGAGUUUUAACUAUAAUAUUUCUGUUUAAUGUUUUUGUUGGGGCAACAUAUGAAUUUUAAUCUUCCUAGAUUUAAAUUAUUUACAUGACGAGUUAUUAUUUUGAACGAUUAUAACUACCUAAGGGAUAACAGCAUAAUUUUUUAUAAAGAUUGUGACCUCGAUGUUGGAUUAGGUACAAAUGGUAUGAGUAAUAUCAUUUUUUUAGUUCUGUUCGAACUUUAUUGCCU
rnacentral:rRNA from 1 species